rfam:Natronomonas moolapensis 8.8.11 complete genome
CUGACGGGCGCGUCCGGGUCAAUUGCGGACUGCAACACCCGAUCUCCCUGCCGGUGCCGCCGUCGAUGGCGGUCUCGGCCGGGGAACGCGUCACCAUCAG